UAGCUGGUUUCCUGCUUAAAGUCAGAAGCAGAGUUGGAAGAAGGAAUUUUUGAAGAAACUGCUAAAAUGAAGAAUAGCAAGCUUCUAGAAUAACACAGUUCAGCCAAGAGCUCCAAAGAAACUGAAACAUGAAAUUGCUGAAUUGUACUCUAGUUUUCAAUUCAGAGCUCAACUACCAGUAAAAAGGCAAAUAAUAUUAGUAAUCACUAGCAAAUGAACAUGAAAGAAUGUAAUUCUGCUACCACAUGAAACUAAUAUGUACCCACGUUUUGACCACUCUUCCCAGGUGAUGUGAAUGGCAGAGUGGAGAACUGUAACACAGAUCAACCAACAUAUAAAGCAGCUUCUGUCUGAAGCAUCUUGGCCUCACUGACAUCAGUAUGGUCACAGAUCUUCGGUAGGAGGGCUCUAUUAGUCAUUGUUUCUCACAAACUAAAAAGCAAAUGAGCUUUUUAUGAAAAUAUCAGGCAGCAGCUUGUAAACACAAAGAAUGUAUGUUAUCAGUCUAACUAAUCAAAUCAUACAACUGAUCUCCACAAAUAAGAUCUGAUUUUCAAAAGGGACAACUGAUCUCCACAAAUAAGAUCUGAUUUUUGAAAGGGGAGUUGAUGCAAUCCUGAGAGGUGUCUGCUAUUAAAUACAACAGUCUGGAUAUAGUGCCUGAACUCCUUUCCACUCCAAGGUGAAUAUCAUGGAAUGGGUCACAAGUCACCUAUGUCAUACAUUCCUUUCCUAUAUGCUGCUGGAAGUCAUUCUCCAAAGCAAUUAACUUCUUUAAGAAGGAUAUGCACUUGGAAUUAAAGAUGAAGAGCUGGUCCGAGAAAGAGAAAACAGAAAAAGAAAAGCUGACAAAAUUUCAAUUCUGUCCCUCACCUAGAGCUUGCACAAAACAGUUGGACAACUCAUCAAAUGAAACACCAAGAGGCUUCCUCACUCCUGUCUGGCCGGGCUUGUAUCAGGGACAACACAUUUCCAUAGCUGCUGGUAUCUCCUCCUCCAUCCUAGAGGUCACAGCAUCACCCUCCUUGUACCAGUUACAGGCAGCACACAGCUCUGUGACACAGCUCAGAUCUUCCUUCAUACAAGACCCUCAGGGGACUCCAGCUGCUUCCAAGACCUUUCAGAAACACACCAAGUACCAGACUGAGCCUCAAGGCUACCUCCAUUACACUGAGGGAAAAAGCAACACUCACCCAGAUGAUGUCACAAGAGUCCUGUAUGAGCAAACAGAGCACCCCAACCUGGAUCACACCUGGCGAACGGGGUAAAAUCCUCCAGCAGAGCCACACAACUCUUCCCCUGCUCAAAGGCAGACAGCACCAGGAAGGUUCAAGCCUCCAGAUUCCUCAAACAUGAGCCUGCUAUCUCUGCAACACUCUCGGGCUGACUACAUUAGAAACAAGAGAACUCCACAAAACACUCUCAUGUAAUUCCUCACAUCAUUACUGAUGGACUAACCAAGCCAUCUCAGAGAAUUCCCCCGUUCAUUUAGCUUUCUGUAAAAUAUCCAGCCCUUACAGUGCAAGAACAAUACAAAUGGAUAAUCAGGGGUAUUGAUUUCAUAAUGAUUAAUGGAUAUUGUACGGUAUCUUUUUGCACUCUGCGUUCCUUACACAGCCAAGGCUCCCAAUAACGUCACAGGGAGUUUCUCAAGUGAAGAAUGCUGGACUAGGUAACUGUUUUUGCACUUCAGGGCAUCUUGUUCCAUUUGUUUUGUGCAUAAUAAAAGCUCAUACUUGUACAGUAAUUUAGCAUUUCUGAAUAAACAGAAAUUGUGAUUCAUAAUUCUCCAUCUUCUUGUCCUCAUUUCUUAAAAAAAAAUAAAUGAGUCACUGUUGUUUAAUCCGAUAAUUAUGCAAACACUAAAUCUUACACUGGAGGAGAAAAUGUUAACACAUAUUGAAAAACCAAAAUGCAUAGAACUAUAAUCUGUAUGAUAAAAUGCAUUACUCUGUUUAAAAGGAUUGUUUUACAGAAGCAAUUAACA
rnacentral:lncRNA from 1 species